rnacentral:lncRNA from 1 species
CUGGAAUGUCAGAGAUGGCAAAUCUCACUUUGGCAAAUUAGCACUGUGUUUCAAUCUUAUCUACCAGAUAGAUUCCAAAUUACGAUGCCUGGGAACUAAGCCAAAGUGCUGUUAUAUAUGGCAUACCACAGUGUGAUAUUCUACCCCCAGUGCUAUUCAGCAUCUACAUAAAACCCCUGGGACUGAUUAUCCCAAGGUAUGGGGCAGGAUGCUAUCAGUAGGUUCAUCACAAGUUUAGAAACUUUAAUUAGAUAAAAACAUGGCAGACAGAUUAGUUACUGAUCAAUAUAGAAGUAAUCAUAUUAAAAUCACUCCACUGGCUGCCAAUUAGUUUCUGGGCAAAAUAUACAUUCUUGGUCAUUACCUUUAAAACUCUAUAUGGAUCGCCCCCUCUCAAAUAAUCGGCCCUGGAGGGUAUUUAUUUCAAUCUGUGAGGAAUAGGUUGGCAUCUAUCACCCCAAGGACUUUUGCUUCAGCUGCCCGUACACUGUGGAUUGACCUGUUAGAAGGGGUUCAUCAACUAAAUGUGCUUCCUGAAUUUAAAACAGCAUUAGAGGCCAGUCUUGAAAGACCUAUCCAAUUGUUUUUAUAUUAUGAAUUUUAAUUUAAUAUGUAUUGUUUUUAUAUGCUCUUUUAAAUUUAUAUUAUGUGUUUUGACUGGUUUGUGAUUGUAACUGAAGUUAUAUAUUCUAACGGCUGUUAUGUGAGAUACUUUAAUCUGUUGUUGUCCCCACCUCAGUUCUUGAGGAAAAGUGUAAUAAUAAUAAUAAUAAUUAUUAUUAUUAUUAUUAUUAUUAUUAUUAUUAUUAUUAUUAUUAUUAUUAUGACACAGCAAACAAGAUAGAUAUGCUGGAUUUCGUAUCACAAAAUCACAAGUCGAACACUUCCCAAGUGUCUAGGACUGUGUGAUGUAUUUUCGGAUGAUGCGCGCAGAUCCCAGUAGGGUGGCCUUUUGCAGUUGGCAGACCAUAAAUUUGUCAAUGUCUAUUGUUUCCAAAUGCUGGCUGAGAUCUUUUGGCAUGGCACCCAAUGUGCCGAUCACCACCGGGACCACCUGUACUGGUUUCUGCCAGAGUCUUUGAAGUUCAAACUUGAGGUCCUGAUAGUGGCUGAGUUUUUCCUGUUGCUUUUCGUCAAUGCGACUGUCACCUGGGAUGGCAACAUCAAUGAUCCAAACCUUUUCCUUUUCCACAACCGUGAUGUCUGGUGUGUUGUGUUCCAGAACUUUGUCAGUCUGGAUUUGGAAGUCCCACAGUCCUGUUUUUCACA